AGAGACACGACAGAUCAAGUCUGUCAGGCGUCCGCACAAGUAACCUGCAUCCAGGAUUCCCGGCCUAGGCCGAGGAACGUCCCCAAUACGGGGCCUUAGCUCAGCUGGGAGAGCACCUGCUUUGCAAGCAGGGGGUCGUCGGUUCGAUCCCGACAGGCUCCACCAUCUGGGCAAAGACAACGGGUCUGUAGCUCAGGUGGUUAGAGCGCACCCCUGAUAAGGGUGAGGCCGGUGGUUCGAGUCCUCCCAGACCCACCAUCCUGGAAUGCGUACACUAAAAGAUUGAAAUGAUCAGGCGUUGAGGCCUGGUUAUGUUCUCUGAAAAUCGGAAUGUAGCGAGCGUUUGAGAUGAAGAAUACUCAAGACGUGUCGUGAGGCUAAGGCGGGUGCAGCAAUGCACCUAAACAUUUGAAAUGUCGUUGAAAUUCGCGCGACAGGUUAUAUGGCUUCGAGGCAACUUGAGGUUAUAU
rnacentral:misc_RNA from 1 species